GCCAGGCGUGGUGGCGUGUGCCUGUAAUCCCAGCUACUCGGAGGCUGAGGCAGGAGAAUUGCUUGAACCCGGGAGGCAGAGGUUGUACUGCAGUGAGCUGAGAUUGCGCCACUGCACUCCAGCCUGGGUGACACAGCGAGACUCCGUCUCAA
ensembl:misc_RNA Metazoa_SRP Metazoan signal recognition particle RNA